rnacentral:rRNA from 1 species
CACGUAGGGGGCAAGCGUUGUCCGGAAUCAUUGGGCGUAAAGAGCUCGUAGGCGGCUCAGUAAGUCGGGUGUGAAACCCCCAGGCUCAACCUGGGGACGCCACCCGAUACUGCUGUGGCUAGAGUCCAGUAGGGGAGUGUGGAAUUCCCGGUGUAGCGGUGAAAUGCGCAGAUAUCGGGAGGAACACCAGCGGCGAAGGCGGGUUGCUGGGCUGACACUGACGCUGAGGCGCGAAAGCCAGGGGAGCGAACGGG